GUCGUAACAAGGUUUCCGUAGGUGAACCUGCGGAAGGAUCAUUAGUGAAUAUAGGACGUCCAACUUAACUUGGAGUCCGAACUCUCACUUUCUAACCCUGUGCAUUUGUUUGGGAUAGUAACUCUCGCAAGAGGGCGAACUCCUAUUCACUUAUAAACACAAAGUCUAUGAAUGUAUUAAAUUUUAUAACAAAAUAAAACUUUCAACAACGGAUCUCUUGGCUCUCGCAUCGAUGAAGAACGCAGCGAAAUGCGAUAAGUAAUGUGAAUUGCAGAAUUCAGUGAAUCAUCGAAUCUUUGAACGCACCUUGCGCUCCAUGGUAUUCCGUGGAGCAUGCCUGUUUGAGUGUCAUGAAUACCUCAACCCUCCUCUUUCUUAAUGAUUGAAGAGGUGUUUGGUUUCUGAGCGCUGCUGGCCUUUACGGUCUAGCUCGUUCGUAAUGCAUUAGCAUCCGCAAUCGAACUUCGGAUUGACUUGGCGUAAUAGACUAUUCGCUGAGGAAUUCUAAUCUUCGGAUUAGAGCCGGGUUGGGUUAAAGGAAGCUUCUAAUCAGAAUGUCUACAUUUUAAGAUUAGAUCUCAAAUCAGGUAGGACUACCCGCUGAACUUAAGCAUAUCAAUAGUCG
rnacentral:rRNA from 1 species